GUUUCCAAUAUUUACAAUUUUUGCCCCUCUAGGACAUCUCUUGUCAGCAAUACCAUCCCUCUCACAUGGCUAUAGUAGGUAUGGCAGCAAGCUUCCAAUAUAAGACUGGACCCAGAUCAACCUCACUUCAUCAAAAUAUGACUCUUGCAAAGCAUCAGAUCUGAGAAGAACCUAUCUUUGGCGUCUGCCAAUCUCCUUCAUCCCAUGCGAGCUUGUGCGAAAGAUUUAUCUUACUCUCAACAGCCGUCCUUCUGAUCUAAUGCUACUGUAAGUUCCUUUUUUCAAUUUAUUGAACUUAAUAUAUCAAUUACUUCUACAAUUUUCAAGGAAUCGAAUUUAAUUCAUAGUAUAUACAUAAACCCUAAAUUUCUCUUCUAGUGGAUUGAAGAAUCGGUUCCCUUGGCUGCGUUUGAGUGUUCGCAAGCAAGAGUUUUGUUCUUCAUUUUUCUGAUUUUGUUUAUGUUUAUUUUUGAUUUUGAUAUAGAACCCAGAAAAGUAGCAGAGAGACUAUGUAUAUAGGCCUAUAGCAAGCUUAGGGAACGAUUUUAAUUACAAAAAUUUAUAUAAAACUUGGAGUUUUACUUGUUGGCGAAUCCAUAGUUGAAUUUUUUUCAGGUGGAUAUGUCUUUUUUUUUGGCUCAAUAAUUCAGCAAAUUCUUUUUUUUUUUCUUUGCACCUUAGAACGGGAGUUCAAUUAUAUCAAAAUACUAGUUUUUUUUUUUUUUUUUGUGUUUUGGGGGUGGGGGGGAUGUUGAUUAUUUAAAACUAAAGAUUAACAAUUUAGUUCUUUCUUAUUUCUUAAUGUUUGGAAAUUGUAAGUAUGAAUUCUAAAAAUAGCUUAUUCGGUUAAGAUUCUUGUCUGAUUUUAAAAUUUCAAGCUGUGAUAGAGCAGUUUGGUGGAACUGGUUAUGAAAGCUCAGAUGUAAUGGUGAUAGAUGAGGUUGAGAGACAGAGACAUCAACAGCUAGAGAAACUGUAUAGGUCUACUUGUGCAGGAAAGGCAUACAUGAACUUUGUUUACAUUGUAGAAUUUUGACUUCAAACUAUGGCUGAAAAAUUUGUACUACUCAAUGUGAUGAUAGUUAGUGUAUUGAUCUCACAUUUUGGGAAAGAACAAAGUUUGAUUUUAUAGGUGACAUGACAAUGAAACCUGCUAGGCAUAUAUAGGUGGCUAUUUGUUUUGCUAUCUUGGAUCACAAGUCUGGGAACAUCUUGUCCUGCUAAUCUAAAAUGUCAGAUUUUUUUGAGGUACCUAGUUGUCUGAGGAUUGUAAAAGGUAUGGAGCUGAAAAUGUCCCUGACAAAAUUUUAACUAAAGGUGCGUCUAUAUAUGUAAUAACCUCAUUUUCCAUUACCUUAAUUAUUGAAUUUUCUGGUUUUGGCACUAGAGUAGUGAUGAUUUCUUUUUUUAAAAAAAAGAAAAGAAAUCUGUGAGGCGUGUUGAGCAACAGUGAAGCAGUGCUUCUGCUUUACUUCUUUUGUAUAUUGAAUGAGAAUUGGUGGAAGGCGGUAGGCAGCACAGUGCUUCUGCUUUAGUUCUUUUGUAGUAUUGUAUGCGAUUGUUGGAAGGUGGUAAGCAAGCACAGAAGAGAAAAAAAAAAAGAGGAAAAGAAAUUCCACUCUCUCCCGUUCUCACGUCCGAAAACAACCCAAAGAACAGAGCAAAUUUCUCCAAGAUUUUUCUCGCUCCACAGGCCAUCGAUCGACCCCAGACCACGUCCCACGCCUUCGCCUCCUCCUUUCGCAGUUGCCGGUAACAGCCUUUCGCCGUCUCGUGGGCCGUACACGGCGGUGGAGCACAAGGCCGGUUUACCCCCGUUUUGAUUUCAAGCUUGAUAUCUCAAGCUACCAGUCACCACUCCUCACCAAACUCCAUCCACAAGCUCGCCUCAACGUCCUGAAGCUCCCAGAAGUGGCCUUGCACGGCGGCGCUACUCGUGGUGGCGGCUGGAAGCCAGACCCGAUCAAAUCGAAAACCGAAGCUUCGAGCAAUAUAUCUCGCGCUACAGGACGUUGUUUUGAGUGUUUCUUGAACUGGUGAACUCAGAGUGAGGAUCUGAACAACUUUCCAGAAGGUAUCGAGGUCUGAAGUUGCAGUUUUUACGUCGAACUAGGAGCUCGCCGGUUUCUGGGUUUUUCCGGCCAACCGACUGGUUUGAGGUAAUUUCUAUUCCUUCCGGUCAUUUUCAGACUUCGUGCUAGUUAUGAAAGUUGUCAAGCAUGAUGAGAGGAAGAAGAGCAGCCCGGCCCCGACACCAUUGGUGGUGGUCGGCGGCGGCUCUGCCACUAACUCCGGCGGCCCUUUCCGGCCACCUCCGGGGAUCAAAAAUAUGGUUUCUGUACAUUUUCAGAUUCUAUAUUUCAAUACGAUCAUUUUGAUAUAUUAUACACAAUUUUUGGAUAUCAUAUGAUUAAGUUAUGAAUUUUACGAUUUCGAUCGAUUUCGAUCGUUCGAUUUGUGAUAUGUGAAGAUCGGACCGUCCGAUGGACUUGUAGUUUUGAUAUGUUGAUCUUAUGACUGUCCCAGUGGCUUUGUGUGGUCAUGGGCGAAGAUCCGACCGUUGGAUCUUCGUAUAAUUGCUAAACAGUGACUAGGAGGCGAUUCGUGAGAAUCCGUCCGUUGAAUUUUCGUAUAAAUUAGCGGAGAUGUUAGUAAGGACGAUUCAGGAAGAUCUGACCGUUGGAUCUUCGUGAUGAUUUUUGGAGGAUGAUCCUAAAGGCGAUCUGUGAGGAUCCGACCGUUGGAUCAUCAUUUAAUUUCGAUCCGACCGUUGGAUUGUCGUUUGAUUAUGUUUUUGAGUUAUUGGCUAAGUUAAGGUCAUGUCUGAUUAGGUGAUCGACGGUUUGAUUUGGCGGACGAUUCGUGAAAGUGUAUUUUGAGCUGUUAAGAAGACGCAGCGGGAAUUUAGAGCGGGAAAUCCUACAGGUCAGGAGAACCAGGACGGUGAUCGGGCUGCUUAGAGUAGUGUUAUGUGAAUUACAGCAUUAUAUUGUGAGGUUUGUUAUGCUCAUUUAGAGCUUUGCAAUUUUACUUUGUAAGAGUGAAUUGUAAUAAUUAACUCGAGGGUUUCGAGUUUUUGUGUUGAGUGGCGAGUGGUGUGUUUGUUUGUGAGAAAAAAAUUCAGAACGUUAUUUGUAUUAAUUGUUUAUUCAUGUUUCGGAUUUGAAUUGGUUAUUCAAAAUUCGGGGCGUGACAAUAUACUUUGAUGCUCGUAAGCAUGUGGAAAGGAACAAGAAGACUUGAAUAAGUUGUUAUCUUCACAGGAUUCUAUUUUGAAACAGACUUUGAACCGGGAAUGGUCAUUCACCCAAACAAAUGGAAUGAACAAUCUCACAUUAAUCGUUGAUGAAGUGGCAUGGGACAAACCGAAGCUUAAUGACUUUCUGAUGAAACUGUGAUGUAUGAAUCAACCUGCUCAAGACCUUGAGACAACAAUAUCAUGCAGUUUUUCCUUAUUGAGCUUUACUAGUGAAAGAAACAUCGACUUAUUGACCAUGAAUGUAUACUUGUGCGCAUAGGCUUGUAAGUUGUAAUAGGUUUCUUUAUUAGGUAGUGCAAUAAGCUGUAGUUACAUUUGUAACAAACGGUAGAUUUUGAUUGAAUGAUGAUGUAUAUCAAUAAAUUGGUAGACAUCAUUCAUGUA